CACUGCAUCUCCUUCCUUAAGUUUCUGCAUUACCUGCAUACACAGAAUUGUUGGUUGCUUAUUUCACGAAGAUUGCAACAUUGAAUCUGGGUGCCUUCCUGUCGUUAGUUCUACAAGCAAUACACCAAAGGAGUAUACAUCGCUCUUUUCAGUUAAUUGGUAUGUUUUGAGGUAUUCAGGAUCCAAGUAGCCUGCAGAACCUUUGACUCGUGUGGAAAUGGAUAACCUUCUCCAAGAUAUUUGGGGAACAACGACAUAGCUAGUGUGCUGGCGGUUGGUUUUCAGAUCCAAGGAGAAAGAUGAGGUGUAUUGGCGCCGUUGCCGGGGAGUUUUUCUAAUCAGUUUUUGUGCUUUUUGUGAUCAUUGUUUAGUUUCUUGAAUUUUUUU